CCUACGGGGAGCAGCAGUGAGGAAUAUUGGUCAAUGGACGAGAGUCUGAACCAGCCAAGUAGCGUGAAGGAUGACUGCCCUAUGGGUUGUAAACUUCUUUUAUAUGGGAAUAAAACAGGGUAUGCAUACCCUCUUGUAUGUACCAUAUGAAUAAGGAUCGGCUAACUCCGUGCCAGCAGCCGCGGUAAUACGGAGGAUCGGAGCGUUAUCCGGAUUUAUUGGGUUUAAAGGGAGCGUAGGUGGAUUGUUAAGUCAGUUGUGAAAGUUUGCGGCUCAACCGUUAAAUUGCAGUUGAAACUGGCAGUCUAGAGUGCGAUAGAGGUUGGCGGAAUUCGGUGUGUAGCGGUGAAAUGCGUAGAUAUCACGAAGAACUCCGAUUGCGAAGGCAGCUCACUGGACUGCAACAGACACUGAUGCUCGAAAGCGUGGGUAUCAAAUAGGAUUAGAUACCCGUGUAGUC
rnacentral:rRNA from 1 species